ACGGGUGAGUAAUGUCUGGGAAACUGCCUGAUGGAGGGGGAUAACUACUGGAAACGGUAGCUAAUACCGCAUAACGUCGCAAGACCAAGGAGGGGGACCUUCGGGCCUCUUGCCAUCGGAUGUGCCCAGAUGGGAUUAGCUAGUAGGUGGGGUAACGGCUCACCUAGGCGACGAUCCCUAGCUGGUCUGAGAGGAUGACCAGCCACACUGGAACUGAGACACGGUCCAG
rnacentral:rRNA from 1 species